UGAAGACUGCCCCACCUGAAAGCAAUCUACCCAAGUAAAAAGGAGAAGGAAGAAAAGAAAAGGGCAGAAUGCAACUGAAGCCCACAAUUUGGGAUAUCUAGGAUGGGGAGGAAGAAGAGCAAAUAAGAGAAAUUCCAAUUACAUGUGCACAGAGAGGAGACAGAAGGAGUCAAGAGAGAACAGGCCAGCAUAGCUUGUGAUCUGGAACAGGAAGGUGUAGCCACUUGAAUGACCAGUAAAUGGAGACCAUGCAGGAGUGAGGAGGCUCAGGUUGGAUGAUUUCAGUGGGCGAGUCAGAGAACUAAUCAAUUUUGAAACAGCAUCUGCAAAAAAUAGAUAAUGUUCAUAUAAAGGGCAACCUAGUCAUAAAGCUUCAUUGAUGUGAAUAAAUAAACAUACAGG